ensembl:lncRNA
CGACUGAAGUGACUUAGCACAUAACUGAUUUACAGUGUUGUGUUAUUUUCAGGUAUGCAGCAAAGUGAGUCAGUUAUACAUAUACAUAUAUUCACUCUUUUUUAAGGAAAAAAAAAUUAUUUUCAACCUUGGGCCUCUUUUUACUUCUCGUUUUUUUGUCUCUAGCCUGACAGUCAAAUCAGGGAUUAUAAAAAGCAACAGGGAACCCCAAUUUGUGGACUGGAUUUCUUUUCAAAACCUGGACAGUUGACUGUUUUCUUCCAGGGAUGCUGGGUAGGUAGCAUCAGGGAGGGAAAAGAAAUCCCAGUGAGAACCAGCUUUUGGUGCUGCCUCUGGCACUGACUAGCUGUGUGAUGGACAGGGAAGCCUGGCAUGCUGUAGUCCAUGGGGUCGCAAAGAGUCGGACACGACUGAGCAACUGAAUUGAUCUGAACUGAGCUGUGUGAUUCCAGGUGAGUGAACUAGAGAGAUGAAUGCUGCCUGCCUGACCCUGACCUUCAGAACUACCUGCAUCCCCAGGAAGACCCGAGGUGCAGCCACUGCCUGUCACAGCCAGCCCCCAUCUGCCCCUGCUCCACCCCCACCCUCUUCAUGGGGGCGGGGGAGGGGGGGAGAAGGCACCUGGAGGCAAGCCAGACUGAACUGGUUCCUACUUGAACUGGGAAACGUGGAGAAAGGAUGCCAGAUAUACAGCCAAGAGAGACGAAAACCUGCGUCCACACAGAAGUCUCUAUGCAAGUGUUCAUGGCAGCAUUAUUCCUGAUGGCAGAAGACUGGAAACAACCCAACUGUCCACCAAUUGAUAAAUGUAGAAGAAAAUGAGAGAGUGAGCCAGGGAGCCUGUGGAUGAGUCCAUACCGUCAGCCUCCUGAAGACAGAGAAGAGAGAGAAAGAGGAUGCAUCUAGUUGGCAGAGGAGGACCUCCAGGGCAAUGAUGAGCUGGCUCCAGCAUGUGAGGUCCUGAAUCAGCCCACACUCAGCAUCUGUCCAAGCAUGACCCUGUGCCCAGAGCUCUAAGUGACAGACAUAGUUCGAAGAAUAAGACCCACUCACCUGAUGAGACAAUUAUGAUGACAAAAGAGAAUGUGUGUUCAACUGAGUAAAGUUCCAGAGGAACUCAGAGAAGAACCCCCCUACUUGAAGUGGGGUAAUGAGGGAAGAAGCCCUAGGUCAGAAUUUUAUUGCUUUCAAUCAAAGGCCAAGACACACAGAACAAAGA